rnacentral:lncRNA from 1 species
AGAGAACGAUCGUCAAACUCUCAACGGUACCCAUCGGGUAACCAUCAGUUGACCUGAUGCCUCCAAAGAACGCAUCUACCGUAUUUCUCACUACUGCUUCUGCUCUCUGCCUCUUUAGUGCUUGGAUGCCUUAUUGUAUUGAUUCCUACUUGAGAACAUCUUGAGAAUGACUUCUUUUUCUACCUAUUUUAUGACUACUACUAGACAACACUGGCUCAAGGCGAUCGAUGAACGAUGGUUGGUGGUUUCACUAGUUCUUCCAUAAAAUAUGCCAAUAAAAAGUGAGGUUAUUAUUGUACAUAAACUUGGACUUCUCCAAUUCUCUUUUCUUCAAGUUUCCCAUGGUUUACUGUACUUUACUUAUUAUUUAUAAAUGUGUGAUGUCAGUAGCCUACACUAACGAGUCCUCUUCUUAAAAAUGGUUUCUUGCUCAGUGAGAGGCUGCAAACGGGAUUCGAGACGAAUCCCUCGAAACAAAGGAUUGAAAUUUUAUUCUUUUCCGAAGAAUCCAGAGCUGCAAUUUCAAUGGGAAAAAUUCUGUGACUCCCAGAAACAGAUAAAUUUAAAAACAGCACGGAUUUGCUCUCGCCAUUUUGAAAAAAAGUAUUAUUUCAAACGUCCCAUUGAUAUAGCCUUAGGUUUAUCGUGUCCCGUUUUCUUCCGAAACUUAUCUGAAGAUGCUGUGCCUACCUUAAAUGGCCCUCCAAAAGAAGGAGAAGAGAAUGAAAGGACUGAAGAUGAAAAUUCUAUCGCUAGCAUCGACAAUCCAGAAGUGUACCCUGAAAGUUCAGAUUCCACCACUGAACCUCCAAGGUACAUCUUCAGCGGUGAAGUAGCAGCCCGACUGCUAGAAUCAGCAGCUGAAACAAAAGCUGAUUUUACAGGAGCCCGAAAGACUGAGCCAUUGGCUUUACCACCACCCGUCAAAAAAAUAAGGAAAGUGCGACCCAAAAGUCCCAAUCCAAAAAAGG